CCUACGGGAGGCAGCAGUGGGGAAUUUUGGACAAUGGGCGAAAGCCUGAUCCAGCAAUGCCGCGUGAGUGAAGAAGGCCUUCGGGUUGUAAAGCUCUUUUGUCAGGGAAGAAACGGUGAGAGCUAAUAUCUCUUGCUAAUGACGGUACCUGAAGAAUAAGCACCGGCUAACUACGUGCCAGCAGCCGCGGUAAUACGUAGGGUGCAAGCGUUAAUCGGAAUUACUGGGCGUAAAGCGUGCGCAGGCGGUUUUGUAAGUCUGAUGUGAAAUCCCCGGGCUCAACCUGGGAAUUGCAUUGGAGACUGCAAGGCUAGAAUCUGGCAGAGGGGGGUAGAAUUCCACGUGUAGCAGUGAAAUGCGUAGAUAUGUGGGGGAACACCGAUGGCGAAGGCAGCCCCCUGGGUCAAGAUUGACGCUCAUGCACGAACGACGGUGGGGAGGACGAAACAAGGAGUUAGUAUACCUACGGUAGUACCGACCGACCCGUAACCGAACUAGUCUACUAGUUGUUCGGUUCGUUAAUUAGUACGUU
rnacentral:rRNA from 1 species